rnacentral:rRNA from 1 species
UGGGGAAUAUUGCACAAUGGGGGAAACCCUGAUGCAGCGACGCCGCGUGAGCGAAGAAGGCUUUCGAGUCGUAAAGCUCUGUCCUAUGAGAAGAUAAUGACGGUAUCAUAGGAGGAAGCCCUGGCUAAAUACGUGCCAGCAGCCGCGGUAAUACGUAUGGGGCUAGCGUUGUUCGGAUUUACUGGGCGUAAAGCGCACGUAGGCGGACUUUUAAGUCAGGGGUGAAAUCCCGGGGCUCAACCCCGGAACUGCCUUUGAUACUGGAAGUCUUGAGUAUGGUAGAGGUGAGUGGAAUUCCGAGUGUAGAGGUGAAAUUCGUAGAUAUUCGGAGGAACACCAGUGGCGAAGGCGGCUCACUGGACCAUUACUGACGCUGAGGUGCGAAAGCGUGGGGAGCAAACAGG